rnacentral:rRNA from 1 species
CCUACGGGUGGCAGCAGUGAGGAAUAUUGGUCAAUGGACGAGAGUCUGAACCAGCCAAGUAGCGUGAAGGAUGACUGCCCUAUGGGUUGUAAACUUCUUUUAUAUGGGAAUAAAACGUUCCACGUGUGGGAUUUUGUAUGUACCAUAUGAAUAAGGAUCGGCUAACUCCGUGCCAGCAGCCGCGGUAAUACGGAGGAUCCGAGCGUUAUCCGGAUUUAUUGGGUUUAAAGGGAGCGUAGGUGGAUUGUUAAGUCAGUUGUGAAAGUUUGCGGCUCAACCGUAAAAUUGCAGUUGAAACUGGCAGUCUUGAGUACAGUAGAGGUGGGCGGAAUUCGUGGUGUAGCGGUGAAAUGCUUAGAUAUCACGAAGAACCCCGAUUGCGAAGGCAGUUCACUGGACUGCAACUGACACUGAGGCUCGAAAGUGUGGGUAUCAAACAGGAUUAGAUACCCCAGUAGUC